rnacentral:rRNA from 1 species
AUUGAACGCUGGCGGCAGGCCUAACACAUGCAAGUCGAACGGUAACAGGAAGCAGCUUGCUGCUUUGCUGACGAGUGGCGGACGGGUGAGUAAUGUCUGGGAAACUGCCCGAUGGAGGGGGAUAACUACUGGAAACGGUAGCUAAUACCGCAUAACGUCGCAAGACCAAAGAGGGGGACCUUAGGGCCUCUUGCCAUCGGAUGUGCCCAGAUGGGAUUAGCUAGUAGGUGGGGUAACGGCUCACCUAGGCGACGAUCCCUAGCUGGUCUGAGAGGAUGACCAGCCACACUGGAACUGAGACACGGUCCAGACUCCUACGGGAGGCAGCAGUGGGGAAUAUUGCACAAUGGGCGCAAGCCUGAUGCAGCCAUGCCGCGUGUAUGAAGAAGGCCUUCGGGUUGUAAAGUACUUUCAGCGGGGAGGAAGGGAGGAAAGUUAAUACCUUUGCGCAUUGACGUUACCCGCAGAAGAAGCACCGGCUAACUCCGUG